rnacentral:rRNA from 1 species
GAAUCUGCCUUCAGGUCUGGGACAACAGAAGGAAACUUCUGCUAAUCCCGGAUGAGCCUAAUGGUAAAAGAUAAAUUGCCUGGAGAUGAGCUCGCGUCUGAUUAGCUAGUUGGUGAGGUAAAAGCUUACCAAGGCAACGAUCAGUAGCUGGUCUGAGAGGAUGAGCAGCCACACUGGGACUGAGACACGGCCCAGACUCCUACGGGAGGCAGCAGUGGGGAAUUUUCCGCAAUGGGCGAAAGCCUGACGGAGCAAGACCGCGUGGGGGAGGAAGGCUUUAGGGUUGUAAACCCCUUUUCUUUGGGAAGAAGUUCUGACGGUACCAAAGGAAUCAGCCUCGGCUAACUCCGUGCCAGCAGCCGCGGUAAUACGGAGGAGGCAAGCGUUAUCCGGAAUGAUUGGGCGUAAAGCGUCCGCAGGUGGCCAUGUAAGUCUGCUGUCAAAACCCAGGGCUCAACUCUGGUCAGGCAGUGGAAACUACAAAGCUAGAGUCUGGUAGGGGCAAAGGGAAUUCCCGGCGUAGCGGUGAAAUGCGUAGAUUUCGGGAAGAACAUCGGUGGCGAAAGCGCUUUGCUAGACCAGAACUGACACUCAGGGACGAAAG